UACGUAGGUGGCGAGCGUUGUCCGGAUUUACUGGGCGUAAAGGGCGUGCAGGCGGUUUGUUAAGUGCAGGGUGAAAGCUCCCGGCUCAACUGGGAGAGGUCCUUGCAUACUGGCGAACUCGAGGGAGGCAGAGGAAAGUGGAAUUCCCGGUGUAGUGGUGAUAUGCGUAGAUAUUGGGAAGAACACCAGUGGCGAAGGCGGCUCACUGGCCCGUAACUGACGCUGAGGUGCGAAAGCGUGGGGAGCAAACAGG
rnacentral:rRNA from 1 species